AUUGAACGCUGGCGGCAUGCCUUACACAUGCAAGUCGAACGGCAGCACGGGUGCUUGCACCUGGUGGCGAGUGGCGAACGGGUGAGUAAUACAUCGGAACAUGUCCUGUAGUGGGGGAUAGCCCGGCGAAAGCCGGAUUAAUACCGCAUACGAUCUACGGAUGAAAGCGGGGGACCUUCGGGCCUCGCGCUAUAGGGUUGGCCGAUGGCUGAUUAGCUAGUUGGUGGGGUAAAGGCCUACCAAGGCGACGAUCAGUAGCUGGUCUGAGAGGACGACCAGCCACACUGGGACUGAGCCACGGCCCAGACUCCUACGGGAGGCAGCAGUGGGGAAUGUUGGGCAAUGGGCGAAAGCCUGACCCAGCAAUGCCGCGUGUGUGAAGAAGGCCUUCGGGUUGUAAAGCACUUUUGUCCGGAAAGAAAUCCUUGGCCCUAAUACGGUCGGGGGAUGACGGUACCGGAAGAAUAAGCACCGGCUAACUACGUG
rnacentral:rRNA from 1 species